rnacentral:tRNA from 1 species
GGCUCGUUGGUCUAGGGGUAUGAUUCUCGCUUAGGGUGCGAGAUGUCCCGCGUUCAAAUCCCGGACGAGCCC